UGCACUGCAUGGUAUCUACCCUCAGCAGCUCAUUCCUGCUGGGUGUUCAAAAGACAGUGCAAUAGAAACUCAGUAUCUGGCAUUGUUGGUUUUCUUGGCUUCAUGCAUAGAUUUAGCUUAAAUGUAAGUA